rnacentral:piRNA from 1 species
UCACACAGCAGGUGUUCAGUUUGCCUCCUC